rnacentral:rRNA from 1 species
UACGUAGGGUGCAAGCGUUGUCCGGAAUUAUUGGGCGUAAAGGGCUCGUAGGCGGUUUGUCGCGUCUGCUGUGAAAACGCGAGGCUCAACCUCGCGCCUGCAGUGGGUACGGGCAGACUAGAGUGCGGUAGGGGAGAUUGGAAUUCCUGGUGUAGCGGUGGAAUGCGCAGAUAUCAGGAGGAACACCGAUGGCGAAGGCAGAUCUCUGGGCCGUAACUGACGCUGAGGAGCGAAAGCAUGGGGAGCGAACAGG